rnacentral:rRNA from 1 species
GACGAACGCUGGCGGCGUGCUUAACACAUGCAAGUCGAACGAAGUGGCGAACGGGUGAGUAACGCGUCAUCAACCUGCCCUUCACAGGGGGACAAACGUUGGAAACGACUGCUAAUACCGAAUACUGAAGGAGGGGUUUGCGUCUGAUUAGCUAGUUGGAGUGGGAACGGCCCACCAAGGAGAGGAUCCGUAGCCGGUCUGAGAGGAGGAUCAGCCACACUGGGACUGAGACACGGCCCAGAUUCCUACGGGAGGCAGCAGUGGGGAAUAUUGCACAAUGGGCGCAAUCCUGAUCCAGCCAUGCCGCGUGUAUGAAGAAGGCCCUAGGGUUGUAAAGUACUUUCAGUCGAGAGCGUUACCGGCAGAAGAAGCACCGGCUAACUCCGUGCCAGCAGCCGCGGUAAUAC